GAGAUUAUACCAGCACUAAUGCACCGGAUCACAUCAGAACUCUGAAGUUAAGCUUGCUUGGGCGAGAGCAGUACUAGGAUGGGUGACCCCCUGGGAAGUCCUCGUGUUGCACCU
rnacentral:rRNA from 1 species